UACGGAGGAUCCGAGCGUUAUCCGGAUUUAUUGGGUUUAAAGGGAGCGUAGGUGGAUAGUUAAGUCAGUUGUGAAAGUUUGCGGCUCAACCGUAAAAUUGCAUUUGAUACUGGCUAUCUUGAGUACAGUAGAGGUGGGCGGAAUUCGUGGUGUAGCGGUGAAAUGCUUAGAUAUCACGAAGAACUCCAAUUGCGAAGGCAGCUCACUAGACUGCAACUGACACUGAGGCUCGAAAGUGUGGGUAUCAAACAGG
rnacentral:rRNA from 1 species